rnacentral:rRNA from 1 species
AUGAGUUGAUCGGCUAAGUUCCGUAGGUGAACCUGCGGAAGGAUCAUU